UACGGAGGAUGCGAGCGUUAUCCGGAUUUAUUGGGUUUAAAGGGUGCGCAGGCGGUCUUUUAAGUCUGAUGUGAAAGCCUUCGGCUUAACCGGAGUAGUGCAUUGGAAACUGGGAGACUUGAGUGCAGAAGAGGAGAGUGGAACUCCAUGUGUAGCGGUGAAAUGCGUAGAUAUAUGGAAGAACACCAGUGGCGAAAGCGGCUCUCUGGUCUGUAACUGACGCUGAGGUUCGAAAGCGUGGGUAGCAAACAGG
rnacentral:rRNA from 2 species